AUUGAACGCUGGCGGCAUGCUUUACACAUGCAAGUCGAACGGCAGCGCGGGCUUCGGCCUGGCGGCGAGUGGCGAACGGGUGAGUAAUGCAUCGGAACUUGCCCAGUAGUGGGGGAUAGCACGGCGAAAGCCGGAUUAAUACCGCAUACGACCUGAGGGUGAAAGCGGGGGACCGAAAGGCCUCGCGCUAUUGGAGCGGCCGAUGUCGGAUUAGCCAGUUGGUGGGGUAAAGGCUUACCAAGGCGACGAUCCGUAGCUGGUCUGAGAGGACGAACAGCCACACUGGGACUGAGACACGGCCCAGACUCCUCCGGGAGGCAGCAGUGGGGAAUUUUGGACAAUGGGGGCAACCCUGAUCCAGCCAUGCCGCGUGCGGGAAGAAGGCCUUCGGGUUGUAAACCGCUUUUGUUCGGGAAGAAAUCCUCUGGGCUAAUACCCCGGGGGGAUGACGGUACCGGAAGAAUAAGCACCGGCUAACUACGUG
rnacentral:rRNA from 1 species